GACGAACGCUGGCGGCGUGCUUAACACAUGCAAGUCGAACGGAAAGGCCCUGCUUUUGUGGGGUGCUCGAGUGGCGAACGGGUGAGUAACACGUGAGUAACCUGCCCUUGACUUUGGGAUAACUUCAGGAAACUGGGGCUAAUACCGGAUAGGAGCUCCCGCUGCAUGGUGGGGGUUGGAAAGUUUCGGCGGUUGGGGAUGGACUCGCGGCUUCUCAGCUUGUUGGUGGGGUAGUGGCUUACCAAGGCUUUGACGGGUAGCCGGCCUGAGAGGGUGACCGGCCACAUUGGGACUGAGGUACGGCCCAGACUCCUACGGGAGGCAGCAGUGGGGAAUAUUGCACAAUGGGCGGAAGCCUGAUGCAGCAACGCCGCGUGCGGGAUGACGGCCUUCGGGUUGUAAACCGCUUUCGCCUGUGACGAAGCGGGAGUGACGGUAAUGGGUAAAGAAGCACCGGCUAACUACGUG
rnacentral:rRNA from 1 species